AGAACGUGAGUCCUCCAGCAAGCGUUGGGUGCCAUUUACAGUGUUCCUCCUAGCGUGAGGAGGCAAAGGGAUCAGCAUAGGCCGGGUUUUCCACAUCAUUUGUAUUAAAAUGAACAGAUUUACUUUCUACUUGAAAAGAUAAGCAAAGAAACUCUCACGCUCAACGAUUCCCCGAGGCCUCCGAUUCAGCGAGGACAGAUGGUUGCAGAGCAUCGGCAGUGUGGCUACAUGGUGGACGAGGCAUCGCUGGUUUGGUUAAAAGGAGCCGACAAGGAAUUGGAGAAGAAGGCACUUAACCGAGCAUAAUACACAUCUUAUAUAUAGCAUAAUUUUAUCCAGGUAUGUUCCAUCUUUUUUGCCACCAUCAUUCAGGAGAGACACAGAAAGAGAAGGAAGAUGAGCGGCCAAAGGAAAAGGAAAAAAGGGAAGCCAAUGCAAUAGAUAAUGUCAUGGAGGAACUGAGGUUGGAGAAAGAGCUUCGAGAAAAGAACGUGGAAGCCGGCACGGUGACGCCUCCAUGAUGGGUAUUCGUAUAUGCGACUUUCGGUUCAUUCCACUAGACAUCAUAUGAAAUAAAUCAGAUGGCAAUUUUGAUUAUAUCGUUAGAUUCAGUGUGCUAUAAUAUUCUCUUGGUUGACUAGAAUGUUAGGAAAUCUAUCAUGGCUGGCAAACUUCUAGAAAUUGUUUUAAAUAGGUUUCUAGCUGACGGGAUAAAUUUGUGAUUGCUUCCCAUAUUUCUUUCUCAGAAUUCUUGUAGUUUGUCCUUGUAUAUGGUAUACUGAUGCUUGGAACUUUUACCUGCAUCACUCUAGCCAGUUUGAUGAAUUAACAGAUGAAUCUGAUUCCAGUGAGAGGUUACCAGGUUCAUUUGGAGACAUCGAUCCUCAAACCACAAACUUAUAUGUUGGCACUCUCUCUCCUAAGGUGUUGUACGACUAUGAGUUGAAGAUUGGGUGGGUCAAAUAUGUUGCUCUUCCAUCACAAGUACUGCCUGGUCCUCCUCCAGGACAUAUGGCAAUCAGAAGCAAGGAGGAGAUGAAAGAGAAAAAAAAAUCAAGAAGUAAAUUCCUCCAUGAACUAAAUAGUAGUCAGUAACCGCAGAUUCUUUCCGUGAUGCUAGAAAGAGACAAGAAAAUAACAAAAAGGUGCUCAUGCCUAGGUUUGUCAUGCUGACCUACUGCCCUGUUGCUAUCAGCCGCUUGGUUUGACCCUCUCACCAGUCCAGGCAAUGGUGGCAAGGUGGAUGGAGGACGUGGUGCGAGUGCGACGUUCUUUGAGGCAGAAGUGGCAGGAGCCUAAGUAGUUCCCGAAGAGGGUAAUGAUUCUUCUCCUUUGCUUUUGGCGUCAUCCUUUCCCAAUACUUGUCUCUUUUGCGUCAGCACAGGGCGAAGAACCCAUGGAGGCUUAUUUUAUAUUCAUUUCAAUCUUGGUCUGCUAGAAGUCUGUAACUGCUUAAUAAGUUCUUCCCUUUUUGCAUUCUUUUUUCAUGUUUGUAUUACUGUUUGGUCUCUGCUAAUUUACCAUGUUAGUUGUUUAUGGCCUGGUUUGGUUUUGCUUGAA